GAUGAACGCUGGCGGCGUGCCUAACACAUGCAAGUCGAGCGAGAACCGCUGGAAUGACACUUCGGUAGAAUGAAAGCGGGGAAAGCGGCGGACGGGUGAGUAACGCGUAGGUAACCUGCCCCAUACACAGGGAUAGCCUAGGGAAACCUGGAUUAAUACCUGAUGAAGCAACUGGUCGCAUGACCGGCUGCCAAAGAUUUAUCGGUAUGGGAUGGACCUGCGUCUGAUUAGUGAGUUGGUGGGGUAAUGGCCUACCAAAGCGACGAUCAGUAGCCGACCUGAGAGGGUGAUCGGCCACAUUGGAACUGAGACACGGUCCAAACUCCUGCGGGAGGCAGCAGUGGGGGAUAUUGCACAAUGGGCGGAAGCCUGAUGCAGCAACGCCGCGUGAGCGAAGAAGGUCUUCGGAUCGUAAAGCUCUGUCCUGGGGGAAGAAACAAAUGACGGUACCCCGGGAGGAAGCCCCGGCUAACUACGUGCCAGCAGCCGCGGUAAACUCGU
rnacentral:rRNA from 1 species